rnacentral:misc_RNA from 1 species
AAGUCGUAACAAGGUUUCCGUAGGUGAACCUGCGGAAGGAUCAUUAACGAAUUGCGUUCGAGGUUGUUGCUGGCUUCCCCCAAGAAGCAUGUGCACACCUUGUAAUCCAUUUCAACCUCACUCGUGCACUUCAGAGGACCGUCAGGUUCUCUUUUAUUACACAAACCUUUAUUAUUGUCCAUGUAGAACGUGUUUAUUAAACAUAAUACAACUUUCAACAACGGAUCUCUUGGCUCUC